AGNUGAGCGAGGCUUCAUAUUUAUGGCGGAAGGGUGGACUUAGAGUGGUGGAAUCUGUGCCUUUGGGGGGGAAAACGCGCUGGAGAAAACUGCGUUUAUACCGGAUGACUACUGGCGAAAAGAGUUUUGACGGAAGAUGAUGAUCCCGGCUGAUAUUAUGUUGGUGGGGAGGUGGAUCUCACCGAGGUCAAUAUCUAUAUGGGAUGAGAGAAGGAGAUCCCCCACUGUGACAGAGACAUAGGGCCCACACCUCCUGGAGGGGCAACUGGGGAAAUUCUUGCACUGUGGGAAAGACUGAUGAACCAACGAUCCCGCGAGAGAUAAAAGCGUCUGGGGUGUGAACCGCUCUUUCCUCGGAAAGAAUAUGACUGUACUUGAAGAAUAAGGCCCGGCUAAUUUCGUGCCAGCAGCCGCGGUAAUACGAAAGUGCCUAGCGUUAUUCGGAAUUACUGGGCGUAAAGAGUAUGCAGGCGGUUUUGUAAGUCUGUUGUGAAAGCCCGAAGCUUAACUUUGUUUUUGCGGUGGAAACUAUUUAACUGGAGUGUGAUAGAGGAAAACGGAAUUCCUAGUGUAGAGGUGAAAUGCGUAGAUAUCAUGUAGAACACCAGUGGCGAAGGCGGUUUUCUGGAUCAUUACUGACGCUCAUAUACGAAAGUCUGGGUGGCGAAGAGGAUUAGAUACCCUCGUAGUCCUGACCGUAAACGAUGA
rnacentral:rRNA from 1 species